rfam:Caenorhabditis remanei strain PB4641 contig2663.2, whole genome shotgun sequence.
CCUUUCGAUCUAUGUAUGGGAUCUGAGUAUCUGCAUAGCCCACUAGCGGGGCAUAUACAGACAACGUUUCGACGUGUUGUGACUCGAUAAGCAGUUACGUCGUUCGAUCGACUCUAUCGAAAGGGGUUUGCCUUCACUAGAUGUAGUCAUUGACUACCAUGGUGUACGGUAACGAGAAUAAGGGUUCGACUCCGGAGAGGGAGCUUAGAAACGGCUACCACGUCCAAGGAAGCAGCAGGCGCGAAACUUAUCCACUGUUGAGUAUGAGAUAGUGACUAAAAAUAUAAAGACUCAUCCUUUUGGAUGAGUUAUUUCAAUGAGUUGAAUACAAAUGAUUCUUCGAGUAGCAAGGAGAGGGCAAGUCUGGUGCCAGCAGCCGCGGUAAUUCCAGCUCUCCUAGUGUAUCUCGUUAUUGCUGCGGUUAAAAAGCUCGUAGUUGGAUCUAGGUUACGUGCUGCAGUUCGCAAUUUGCGUCAACUGUAGUCGUGACUUCUAAUUUGCUGGUUUGAGGUUGGGUUCGCCCUUCAACUGCCAGCAGGUUUACCUUGAAUAAAUCAGAGUGCUCAAUACAAGCGUUUGCUUGAAUAGCUCAUCAUGGAAUAAUGAAACAGGACUUCGGUUCUUUUUGUUGGUUCUAGAACUGAUUUAAUGGUUAAGAGGGACAAACCGGGGGCAUUCGUAUCAUUACGCGAGAGGUGAAAUUCGUGGACCGUAGUGAGACGCCCAAUAGCGAAAGCAUUUGCCAAGAAUGUCUUCAUUAAUCAAGAACGAAAGUCAGAGGUUCGAAGGCGAUUAGAUACCGCCCUAGUUCUGACCGUAAACGAUGCCAUCUCGCGAUUCGGAGGGUUUUUGCCCUGCCGAGGAGCUAUCCGGAAACGAAAGUCUUUCGGUUCCGGGGGUAGUAUGGUUGCAAAGCUGAAACUUAAAGAAAUUGACGGAAGGGCACCACAAGGCGUGGAGCUUGCGGCUUAAUUUGACUCAACACGGGAAAACUCACCCGGUCCGGACACCAUUAGGACUGACAGAUUGAAAGCUCUUUCUCGAUUUGGUGGUUGGUGGUGCAUGGCCGUUCUUAGUUGGUGGAGUGAUUUGUCUGGUUUAUUCCGAUAACGAGCGAGACUCUAGCCUGCUAAAUAGUUGGCGAAUCUUAGGGUUCGUAUAACUUCUUAGAGGGAU